rnacentral:rRNA from 1 species
GAUGAACGCUGACAGAAUGCUUAACACAUGCAAGUCGAUGGGGAAGUGGUGCUUGCACCAUGGUAACCAUGGCGGACGGGUGAGUAACGCGUAAGGAACUUGCCUGCGGGACUGGGAUAACAGCAGGAAACUGCUGAUAAUACCGGAUAAGGUCAUUAAGCUGCAUAGCUUAGUGAUGAAAGGGGACGCCUGCGGAGAGCCUUGCGUCCUAUUACCUAGUUGGAGGGGUAACGGCCCACCAAGGCGAAGAUAGGUAGCCGGCCUGAGAGGGUGGACGGCCACAAGGGGACUGAGAUUCGGCCCUGACUCCUACGGGAGGCAGCAGGGGGGAAUAAUGGACAAUGGGCGCAACCCUGAUCCAGCACUUCUGUGUGCACGAAGACGGUUUUCGGAUUGUAAAGUGCUUUCAGCAGGGAAGAAGGAAGUGACGGUACCUGCAGAAGAAGCAACGGCUAAAUACGUG